UUUUUAGAGUUGGUUUGUGUUGAUUUAUGAUUUAUGAACAGAAAAUGCAUUACUUUAAUAAAUGUUAGUUAUUUACACAUAAAAUGUGUAAAAAACUAAGUUGUUAUUAAAUCUCCGAUGAAAUGGUUCAUAGAAAUCUUAUUCCCUGCAGGAUGUCUGUUAAAAAAAAAAACUGAAGAAACUUUAAAACUAGAUGAUGGCAACUAAAGAAGUUGAAACACCGUUAUUCAUGGAGUCAUAUCGAGGCUUCAGUUCUUUUUGUUUGUUAGUUAUAUGCAAGAUAUGACAUGGUAUGGUACACUGCAUGUAUAAAAGUGAAUAAAAGAACUAAAGAAGCAAAACGAUAAAUUUUAAAGCAGAUAUUUAUCAUGCGAUUAUGGUGGCGAUUAUGAGAGAACUACUGUGGCAGAAUAUUACUAUUGUAGAACAGUUUUGCAUCAAAUCAUUGUGAUUAAUAUUAGUUUUUUGUUGCUUAAAAAUAUUAUGAAAUUCAAA